GACGAACGCUGGCGGCGUGCCUAAUACAUGCAAGUCGAACGCAUUUUCUUUCACCGUAGCUUGCUACACCGAAAGAAAAUGAGUGGCGAACGGGUGAGUAACACGUGGGUAACCUGCCCAUCAGCGGGGGAUAACACUUGGAAACAGGUGCUAAUACCGCAUAAUUCCAUUUACCGCAUGGUAAAUGGAUGAAAGGCGCUUUUGCGUCACUGAUGGAUGGACCCGCGGUGCAUUAGCUAGUUGGUGGGGUAACGGCCUACCAAGGCUGCGAUGCAUAGCCGACCUGAGAGGGUGAUCGGCCACACUGGGACUGAGACACGGCCCAGACUCCUACGGGAGGCAGCAGUAGGGAAUCUUCGGCAAUGGACGCAAGUCUGACCGAGCAACGCCGCGUGAGUGAAGAAGGUUUUCGGAUCGUAAAACCCUGUUGUUAGAGAAGAACAAGGAUGAGAGUGGAAAGUUCAUCCCUUGACGGUAUCUAACCAGAAAGCCACGGCUAACUACGUG
rnacentral:rRNA from 1 species